CCAAGACUGUCCAGAAAAUUCAUUUGGUUGCUUAAUUUUGAACCGCUUACGUUUGGAUUUUGGAAAUGGUUUCUUCUACACAAAUAUAGCCUUUUGAACCUAGUUUCCAACGCCACUGAUGGAACCUAAUUCCAACUUUUUUACAGUGAAUUAUAACCGUUUUCCCGAGACUGUCGGGAAGACUGUUCAAUCCGAGAAAAAAGGAACCCUUAAGCCUAAAUGAAACCUUUCUUUUGCCGAGCUUUCAUGUACACAUUAAACUUAUUUUCUCAUGAACUUUUACCAUGGUAUGGACCUCAUUGCAUGCCGGAUUAAGUAUCCUAGACUACUCACUUGGUUUCUUACUAAACCUAUAAUUUAGUAAGGAACGAAUCUAAUUGUUAACAAUUUCACUCGUUGCCCUAGGUUUGGGGAAACGAAGGUGACCGUAACUGAGGCGUUUGACGUUGAUUACUAC
rnacentral:lncRNA from 1 species